rnacentral:lncRNA from 1 species
AAAACCUCAAACUGCAUUAGCUUUUGCACUUGGCAUGCAUUAAUUUCACUCUAUAUCUCCACCUUCGGAAGAUGGAACAGUCGAGAUAUAAUUAAGUCCAUUGUGGUUACACCAACAAUAUCUUGCUUUCAUACUCUUGCCACUUCUUCCUGGAUUUGAUUCCAAUGUGUGUUUUCUUAUUUCCCCUGCGUAUAGAAUUUGCUGAGUGUGAAGCACCAAAACUUUUCAAAGAGAAACUUGCAGAAAUGCUCCAAAAGGUGCCCUUGUUAGAGGUAAAGUAUUCUCAUCUUUCACUUAUUUGUCCUCUCUUUCUUCUUCUAAUUUUCCAUGAUGCCUCUUGUCACGACCCGAACCGGGGCCCUGGCCGUGACGAGCAUUCCGAACCAUAAAGGCCCGAAACACCCCUAUUUGUCUGAUAAUCACGCACAUAAUUCAUGGUAAACGAAAUGCGGAAGAUACACAAUAUAACGGAAACAUGGUCAAGAAUCAUAUGAAAACGAAAAUGGGUAAUAGUGUCCUACAAUCUAAAUCAACAUCUCUAAAACCGUCUGCGAAAUCGCUACUACAUGACUGAAACAAUGUCUAUCUGAAAACUGGGACAAGGCCCCCAGCAGACCCAAAACUAAUAAAUGAUAAAUGAAAUAGCAUACGUCAGGCCUUCCGAAAUAUAGAAGGCUCACCACUUGAUUCUGCGAUCUGUCUGAAGAAAUUUACUAGUUAUCUGGACCCCUAGACUGUGCCUCCGAACCAGGGAGGGAACGGGGUCAAUACAAAAGUACUGGUACGCAGAGAAAUCAAAACAGAAGUAUAAUAUUUUUACACAAUAUAGGUGAGAGCCAUUAUAAAGCAGUUUCAUAUCAAAUCAUUUGAAAACACAAGGGCAUAAUGUAAUUUGUUUUAAUAACAAUGAAAUGCAACUGAGCUAGGUGGAAUACCCUACAUAAUUUACACCAACUGUCAAACCCGGGUUGCCGCUGAGAUUAGAGUAUACGUGAGGGGAAGACACACAAGAUCACACAGCAUGGUGUCUCGACCCAAUGGUAGCGCCCAAGAUCUCUUAGUCCGGGCUCCUACCUAUAAUCCCAAUUUGGGAAUGACAUAAAGUCAAGUACUCAAGAUCAUUUAGCCUGGUACCAAAUUUCCGUGUCGGCAAACACGGUUUCCAGCGAUGAUACCUUACACUCGAACUCCUUCUUCGGGCAUCCAUCUAUCUCAUGUAAAAUCAAUGCAUUCAAAUUUCAUUUGAUUCAAUCACAUAUCAUAUUUUGUUGGGUAACGUCAUACCCGACUUGAAAGCCAUCAAUAUCACAUUAUUCUUCUCAUUCAACCAUUGUAUUCAACAUGUUUCAACACAAAUAACCCUCUAGUUUUCAAGUCAAAAUAAUAUCAAUUCUCAAAACAUUUCAUGUCAUGCUUUUCAUGAUGUUUUCAAACAAUUUACAUCAUAUGGACAUUCAAAACAAAUUCAUAUCAAGAGAGGGAUUUCAUAUAAUUCAUGCUCUCAAAAUAUCAUCUUUUCGAAACACACGCAUAUACAUAUAUAAUAUGUCAAAUCGUUCGAAAGUAAGCCUAAAGACCAAAUUCAAUAUUAUAGAAACGUUCAAAACAUAAUUAUAUUCGAAGUUUCAAAACCCCCAUUUGUAAAACAUGAAUUUAAAGACCCAUGAGAUUUUUCAAUAACCCCACGUACCUCUAUAUGCGAAUAUGAUAGGUUCUUCUUGAAGCCUACGUUGCGGAGAUUCCAAAACUUCAAUUUGUUUAGAAAACCCAUGGUUGAAUCUUGAACUAUUUGGGUUUUUAUUUUGAAACCCUAGAGAGAGUUCUUGAACAAUUUGGAUGAAUGAAGGUGUAUUUUGGGGUCUUUGCGAACUGAAUUUCGUGUUUAUGGCUAAAUAAGGGUGGAAAAGGACCAUUUUGCCCCAAAAACAGUUUUUAAGUCACCUAAAACCUUUACAUAGGCGGUGCCUAUGCUAUCGCCUAUGUUUACAUAGGCGCCGCCUACUACUUUGAAAGGUCAUAACUUCUUGCUCAGGUGCCGGAUUUUAGCAAAAUUAGUAACGUUGGAAAGAUAACUCGAAGACCUAUCAUUUGACACAUAGUAGGCUCUCUAAUUUGUCAUAUAUAGAGAGUUAUGGACAAUGGAAUCUGAAACAAAUUACACGUCCACUAAAACUUAACCGAUCGAAAUAGUUUCAACUCGUCCUUGAGUUGAAAGACCUCUAUGGUCUAAAUUCAAGCUUGAAUGGAUUCACAUACUACUCAAAUAAUUAACAUGCCAUAUUGGCAUAGGAUUUAUGGCUUCGGGAUUAUCAACGCAUCGAAAUCAUGGUCUAUAUUGUAGCCCAAAAUACAGGACGUUACAUUAUCUCCCCCUUGAGAUCAUUCAUCCUCGAAUGAUGGGUAGGAACAUAUUGAAGCUUAGAGGUAUGGAAUAAAGCGGACACGACAUGACCUCUAGUAAGAAUACACUGAUCUAAAACAUAACCAUAUGGCUGGAACUACUGAUGUUCUGAAUUCUUAUACCGGACAUGCAUAUCUAAUCCAUGGAAUACACGACUGAAGCUACUCAUAAGCUGAAUUCUCAUAAUGAACAUGCAUACCUGAUGCAUGGAUUCGUUACUGAGUUGUUCUCAUGAAUGCAGAACUGAAUACACUGCUAAGCUGAACUUUUCUAUUGUACAUGCAUUUCUAAUGCAUGCAUAUCUGACUGAACUGAUGUAUGACGUAUGACUGAAUACGCAAUGAUAACUAGUGCAAAGCUUGCAAUAAGUAUCUAUGCAUGCAGCUGAAUGAGGUAUCUCGUCCUUGGGAUCCUAUGUCCCUCUAUGAAUGCUCAAUUCACUAAGAUAUUCGGGGAACUGAGGCGAUGCACAGGCACCUACGAAUUGAAUCAUAACUGAACCCCUGGAAUCUUAAUCUAAUGCAUGACGCAUGAACUGAUCUAUACUCGCAAUUACUAGUAUACUCUAUCUUGGAAUAGUAGCAUGUCUAAUAUUUUGGGUAGCAUGAAUAAAUGAAAAGAUGAGAAAACAAGCCAUGCGAAUCUGCUUGUUAAACUGACUUACUGACCAUACAGACUAAAUUAUGCUGGACCUUCAUACUUAACUGGAGUAUUCUCUUCAACACUCUCUCUAAGGAAGUUCUAGAAGUAAUAGGGAUCCAUGAAUCUUGGGUAUGGAUUACACAAGACAUCCAACUGAGGAGAUCACAACAUUGACACUACCCUGCAGUAUGGAAUAUAGACAUAUAACUCCUAAAUUAGGAUAUAAUUUUCAGACCUUUGGUAAUACGACUUCUUACUUUCAGGCUUUGAGCACUCCCCGAAUAUCCCUUAAACUAUACUAUUCCCUAUAAAUAUCAUAUUCAUUCAACUCAACUUAAAAUUCUCAUAUGAGCAUUGAAAAAUCUUUCUACUAAUGUCAAAAAUAAAUUAAUCCCUUCGCCGUGAUCAAGCCUAACUCUAAGUCACCAAAAAAAAUACAACAUGCCAGACCACGCUAUUAUUCUAAACCAUAUGAUGCCACCUUCUAUACCUCUUUUAAAAAUCACAUCCUAAGCAUAACAUGCCUUACCACUUCAAUGACUACUCUGAACUCUUAAUAUGAAGUCGCUAAUGCAUAUAGCGACCUUCCACUACAAUCCUAAAAUGUCAUUCAAGCCUAAUUUGUAACCACAUGUUAACUCCAAGGAAAUCACCCAUAAAUGCAUACUUCACAUAGUUUCUAAACUAUUAUCAAUAUAACUCCCACGUGCUAUCCUAAAAACAUACACACACCAACUUUUCCACUAACCAUCACAUGUAUCAAACUUAGCCCCAAAUCUUACUUCAUACUUAUGGCCUUAUCUAAAAAGCAUACUAUGAUCUUCCAUCUACAAAAACAUUUACAUCAUCACCACUAUCAUUGCAUUGGAAGGGUCACUAAAAGGUUAAAACAUAAGACCCUCAAGCAUGAAAAGAUCUUUAUACGGGACUGAGCACACUAUAAAGAGUGAGUACAUGCGUCAAGAGUUGCAUGACCUCAACUAGAGUUCAUAACAUAAGGAAUGUGACUUAUUUCUAUCGGUUCAACCUUCAAAACUCAAACUUAGAUUCUAACACUUAACAUGGAUAUCACCAAGCAUUUGAUAAACCAAACCACUUUCGACAUAGCUUACUAAUAUCGCGACUCCCAACUUAUGCCUAAUUACUAUGAGAAUCAAGAUCAUAUAAAAGGCUCAACACUAUCAAUCAAAACUCUUUAACCUAACUAUUUAGAACCCAUAUAACAUCUACUAGUCUUUCCCCAUCUAGCAACUCAACAGUACUAAUAGCCAUACACAAUAGGUAAUUGCCCUAGAAAGAAUGCCGCAACCUCAUGUAACCUUAGGCAUACUUCUACAUCACACAUACAAUAUCAUACAUCACUACAAAUCAAAUAAACUUAAUCUAUUUCAUGCACCGUUCAAGCCUAUUAGAUCACUUCUAUACAAAUAGUAUUCAUUAACCAAGAAAUUUUCACAUCCACCUUCAUGGACAUCAACUAUUCAAACUUAAUAUCUAGUGCUAUGCAUGAUUUACAACCCAACCUUACACAAAAUUUUCACUUGGAAACUAUAAAUAAACAUCACAAAACACUAGUGCACNNNNNNNNNNNNNNNNNNNNNNNNNNNNNNNNNNNNNNNNNNNNNNNNNNNNNNNNNNNNNNNNNNNNNNNNNNNNNNNNNNNNNNNNNNNNNNNNNNNNNNNNNNNNNNNNNNNNNNNNNNNNNNNNNNNNNNNNNNNNNNNNNNNNNNNNNNNNNNNNNNNNNNNNNNNNNNNNNNNNNNNNNNNNNNNNNNNNNNNNNNNNNNNNNNNNNNNNNNNNNNNNNNNNNNNNNNNNNNNNNNNNNNNNNNNNNNNNNNNNNNNNNNNNNNNNNNNNNNNNNNNNNNNNNNNNNNNNNNNNACCCCAUACGAUCUUAUCUACUUAUGCGGAUUUCUCACCUCAUACUUACUUACUCAAGCAUACAUUUAGAUUGUCUUCAAAUUCCUCAAACAACCACGAGUCUAUAAUCAUAACUUACUCACUAAUAUAGCCAUUUUUCAUAUUCAAGAAACCAACAAAUCACCCUGACUAACAACUCCUUCUCUACCUUAUACUAAACUAACUCACAAGGACGAAUUACCUCUUUACCAACUCAAUCUCAUGCAAACAGAUUCAGCCAUACAUAUAUUAAACCAACGAAAGAACAACAAGUUGCUAGUGAAUCAAAACAGGCCUCACACGGCUUCACUAGACUUUGGUUUUGUAUUUUGAACAAGAAAAUGAGAUGGAUGACAAUGCAACUAUGCUAGUGAAUCGAAAGAGCCCACACGGCUUCACUAGACUUUUUAAUUUCAUCAACACAAUGAUAAAAUAUUUUCAAGAGAUAGAAACUUGUCACACAAUAUUCCAUUAUCUGAGAAUACACAUCUUACUUUGUAUAGAUAAAAAUCUGAGUCAAAUAUUUCCCCCACAGAUUAUCAUACAAUCCACACACGCUACUAGCUACCAACAGAUCAUGACACUGACACUUUAGUUUAUACUACUAUUUGGGUGGAAAUAUAAUUCCGACACUUCUACUACACAUCUUUUCCCUUAAGCAUGAUAUCUACAACAUAAAUUUUUGAAAAAGGCCGAAUAUACUCAAUACAGAAGGCUGAAAAGCACGAUUUCAUCAAGAUCAAGGUUCACACUAGAACCCAUACACUCUAAAGCAAUAACGGACUCUUCUCGAGUCCUUGCAUAAUUUUAACACCUUAUAUGAUGCGAUCCAAAGGGAUAAUACCAUUUAGACUCUAUACUUCUGUACUUGAAUUGGCCCAAUAAUGAGGCAUGUCUGAGAAUGUCCGAGUAAGGAAAGAAUUUUGGAUGAUUUUACUUUCGUAUGGAUGUCACCAUAGCAUGAAUUAGAGUAUGAAGGAGGAAUUGACUCUGUUGCAGGAGCUAGAACAUGAAGAAAGAGAGACAUUCCUAAAUGCCUUGUAGCUUCCUGCUUAUAAGUGUGGUUGACUACACACCCAUAAACAAGACUCUACUCGAUGUGAUUUCGUACACACCCUGGGAAUAUGAACCACGCUUUGAUACAAAGUUUAUCACGACUCGAACCGGGGCCUGACGAGCAUACCAAACCAUAAAGGCCUAAAACACCCCUAUCUUUCUGAUAAUCCUGCACAUAAUUCAUGACAAAAGAAAUGCAGAAGAUACACAAUAUAAUGGAAACAUGGUUAAGAAUCAUUUGAAAACGAAAAUGGGGAAUAGUGUCCUACAAUCUAAAUCAACAUCUCUAAAAUCGUAUGCGAAAUCUCUACUACAUGACUGAAACAAUGUCUAUCUGAAAACUGGGACAAAGCCCCCAGCAGACCCAAAACUAAUAAAUGAUAAAUGAAAUAGCAGACGUCAAGCCUUCCGAAAUAUAGAAGGCUCACCACUUGAUUCUGCAAUCUUUCGGAAGAAAUUUACUAGUUAUCUGGACCCCUAGACUGUGCCUCCGAACCUGGGAGGGAAGGGGGUCAAUACAAAAAUACUGGUAAGCAGAGAAAUCAAAAUAGAAGUAUAAUAUUUUUAUACAAUAUAGGUGAGAGACAUUAUAAUGCAGUUUCAUAUCAAAUCAUUUGAAAAAACAUGGUCAUAAUGUAAUUGUUUUCAAUAACAAUGAAAUGCAACUGAGCUAGGUUGAAUACCCUACAUAAUUUACAUCAACUGUCAAACCUCGAUUGCCACUGAGAUUAGAGUAUACGUGAGGGGAAGACACACAAGAUCACACAGCAUGGUGUCUCGACCCAAUGGUAGUGCACAAGAUCUCUUAGUCCGGGCUCUUACCUAUAAUCCCAGUUUGGGAAUGACAUAAAGUCAAGUACUCAAGAUCACUUAGCCUGGUACCAAAUUCCCAUGUCGGCAAACAUGGUUUCCACCGAUGAGCCCUUACACUCAAACGCCUUCUUCGGGCAUCCACCUAUCUCAUGUAUAAUCAAUGCAUUCAAAUUUUAUCUGAUUCAAUCACAUAUCAUAUUUUGUAGGGUAACAUCAUACCCAACUUGCAAGCCAUCAAUAUCACAUUAUCCUUAUCAUUCAACCAUUGUAUUCAACAUGUUUCAACACAAAUAACCUUCUCGUUUUCAAGUCAAAAUCAUAGCAAUUCACAAAACAUUUCAUGUCAUGCUUUUCAAGAUGUUUUCAAACAAUUUACAUCAUAUGCACAUUCAAAAUAAAUAAAUUCACAUCAAGAGAGGGAUUUUAUAUAAUUCAUGCUCUCAAAAUAUCACCUUUUUGAAACACACGCAUAUACAUAUAUACUAUGUCAAAUCGUUCGAAAGUAGGCCUAAAGACCAAAUUCAAUAUUAUAGAAACAUUCAAAACAUAAUUAUAUUCGUAGUUUCAAAACCCCCAUUUGUAAAACAUGAAUUUAAAGACCCAUAAGAUUUUUUGAUAACCCCACGUACCUCUAUAUGCGAAUAUGAUAGGUGCUUCUUGAAGCCUACGUUACGGAGAUUCCAAAUCUUCAAUUUGUUUUGAAAACCCAUGGUUGAAUCUUGAACUAUUUGGGUUUUUAUUUUAAAACCCUAGAGAGAGUUCUUGAACAAUUUGGAUGAAUGAAGGUGUAUUUUGGGGUCUUUGGGAAUUGAAUUUCGUGUUUAUGGCUAAAUAAGGGUGGAAAAGGACCAUUUUGCCCCAAAAAUAGAGUUUUUAAGUCACCUGAAACCUUUACAUAGGCGGUGCCUAUGCUAUAGCCUAUGUUUAUAUAGGCGCCGCCUACUACUUUGAAAGGUCAUAACUUCUUCCUCAGGUGCCGGAUUUUAGCAAAAUUAGUAACGUUGGAAAGCUAACUCAAAGACCUAUCAUUUGACACAUAGUAGGCUCUCUAAUUCAUCAUAUAUAGAGAGUUAUGGACAAUGUAAUCUGACACAAAUUACAACGUCCACUAAAACUUAAUCGAUCGAAAUAGUUUCAACUCGUCCUUGAGUUGAAGGACCUCUAUGGUCUAAAUUCAAGCUUGAAUGGAAUCACAUACUACGCAAAUAAUUAACAUGCCAUAUUGGCAUAGGAUUUAUGGCUUCGGGAUUAUCAACGCAUCGAAAUCAUGGUCUAUAUUGUCGCCCGAAAUGCGGGACAUUACACCUCUUCAAGCUAAUUACUCUUUAGAACAAGAGUUCUCCUUUGAUGGUCAAUUUCAGGAGUACUUUUCUUUCCUCCACAGUUGAUGUCCACAAAAAUCCGAGGUACCUCACGUGAUGUCUUUGAUGUAUGACCGACCACUUGGACAAUUUCUGCCCAAGAGUUUAAAAAAAUUGAAGUUACAGCAAACGGAUGUACCCCUCUUUGUCUCCUGGUUAGAUGCAGUCAAGAAGAUGCCUUGUUUCAACUUGCGAAGCUUGUCUCUUGUCAUGGACGAUAUAUCAGAUGAUCUUCUCAUCACAGUUGUUCAUUCUCUUCCUCGUUUAGUAGAGCUGGAUCUUGAGGGACAGACAUUUUAUGGAGCCAUCGGUACGGGACUUGACCAACAUUGGACUGCCGGCUCUGAAGUUCUGCGAAUGUCUAAUUGGCCUCUCAAUUGUUCUAAGUGAAAGUAAUUAUCCUUCAUUUAAGAGAGUCAAAAAUAUAGGCAUGUUCCAUGUUUCUGAAGGUUGUAGAAUGUUGGAAUUAGUGAAACUUGGCAGGUUUGCAAAGGUUACUGAAGCUGGAUAUUCGUCAAUUCUGCACUCAUGCCGGAAUCUGAAGAAAUUUGAAGUGUUGACUUCACCUCUAUUAUCAGACUUGGUGUUUGAUAGUAUGAUAGGAGUUGCAAGGUCCGUAAUUGAAUUAAGGCUGUCAGCAUGCAGUCUUCUAACUAUGCUCUUCUCAAUUCUGCCCAAAUUUUAUUGUCUUCUCUUCUCUUUAUAUUUGUUUUUUGUAUUUUAAUUCCAUGUUGUACCUCUCUUGUUUCUUAAUAUGUGUUAAUAUAUUUCAUGUAAAUCUCUCUACAGCCACUUGGAGAGAUGGAAACUAUUGUUUUCCUCUAUAUGUACAAUUUUUACAAGGUAUUCUUUUGUUUACUUCUAUUUUUCGUAAAUUCUAAUUCUCUGUUUUACUCUUUCUAGUUCUAAUAGUGUUGCUUUCUAUUGUAUCUUAUUCUUUUACUAUUCCUUAUUUUAGAUUGUUUCAUUUUGAGCCGGGGGUCUAUUGGAAACAACUUUUCUAUCUCACAUUUGAGGUAGUGGUAUGGACUGCAUACACUUACCCUCCCCAGACCUCACUUGGUGGGAAUAUACUGGGUAUGUUGCUGUUGUAGUUCUUAUAGUGUUGCCUUUAAUUUACGUAGGGGUUGUUUAGUUGGGAAACUAGUUAUCCCAAGGAUUAAUUAUUCCGGGAUUAGCUAUCUCAGAAUUAGUUGUCCUACUCUCAAGGGGUGAUAAAAAUAACACUACAAGAGAAAACUAAUUACUGUAUGUGUUAUUCCAUGCAUUUUAUCGCAACCAAACAUGGAUUAGCUCGUCCUAAAGUUAAUUUUAGAAUUAGUUAUCCCUCGUACCAAAUGAGUCUUGAAGGUUGGAUAAAAAUAAUACUAUAAUUCAGAAUAACUAAUCCCGGUAUGAGCUAUCCCAUGCAUUUAUCCCAACCAAACAUGGCAAAUGCCUAUCGUAAAUUAAUUCCAACAUUAGUUAUCCCUUAUUCCUAGUAUCAAACGAGCCCUUGUAAUUGCAUGUGUGUAGUUUUUCUUUCAUUCCCCUUAUUAACUCUUAAUUUAAGGAGAAGUAAUAGUUAAAUUUAUGUUACCAUUUUAUUUGAUUUGCAGGAAUGGUUUACUCUUGCUUGUGGCAUCUUCUCUAAUACCAUACCUACCUACCAUUAGAAAGAAAGGGAACAAAUAAAAAUAGUGAAUACACAACUUUUUUGAAUAACCGUGGUGUUCGGGUCAGCUUACGUGCACCUUGGCUAAUUCCACGGAAUAUGUAGCACCUCCCACCAGCAACAAUGGUGAAUACACAGCUAAAGACAAGUAAACCAUUUAGGCGCAUGUGUAUCAUUAAUAGCUAACUCUAAUCCUUUUUCUUUUCUUUUGCUGAAUUAGUGGUCAUGUUAGACAACACCUCUCAUAAUUACAAUUCUUUGGAAAAACGAAGUUGUACAAAAUGGCUAUUGAAGUAGUUACUGCACCUGCUAUUGAAGUAGGUGGUAAUCCAUUGUUGGAUAAGAGAGUGAAAGUAACAACAUUAGGUGUUUGUGUUUCACAUAGAGCUAGUAGUGGUGUGUGUCCAACUAGUGAUGCCACUUAAUGAUAGUAGCAAUGAAUUGCUACUUAAUGAGUAAUUACAAUGGCAGGUCCAAAAAAAGGCAUUUGAUAUUCAAAAGGUUCAUUACAACAGAGGACAAAUAAAGCACAUAAUGCCUAAAAAGGAAAAAAAAGCUAAGUUUCAGUCAUCGGAUUUUGUGCCAUUGCCAGCCAUCACAGCACCCAAAUUCGCAGCCAACACCGUACAUAGCAAGCCUGUGUCUCGCCUUGUAGAUUGCGUGGAGGAUGUCUCUCUUAGCAACUAUGCUAGUAAGUUCAAUACCGAGCCAGCGCAAACGACAGAAAGCAUACUGGGGCAGAGGUAGCAUUAUGGCAUCAGCAGUCAAACCUCGACAGCUGCAAAGAUCAAGUAUUUACAGUUGACUACUAUUGUGGUUUGGUCUAUCCAUUAGCAUCUGCACUGCAGCAUCAGUGACCUCAUCACAGAACCCUAUACAUAAAUUAGUUAAUGCCUUAGCAACAAAUGUAAUGGUAAAAAUAGUUGCAUUAGUUAUUUUAGGAACGUAAUCAACAUCCAACACUACUAACGUCUUACAAAUUUUCCUAUCAGCAUGAAAUAAAGAAUUAAUUCCCUUGUCAAUAACUCUCUCACAGCUUCUGAUCCACAACUGCACAAUUGAUAAGUCUCCCGCACCAAGAAGAGCAAGGUCCGUUAUUGAAUUAAGGUUGUCCAUGCAGUCUUCUAACUAGUGAAGCUUUGGAGCAUUUGUCCUCAUUUAGUAAGUUGGAGGUACUUGACACAAGUGGGUGCGAACGCAUUGGAGACCUGGCUCCCUUUACAUAUCAAAAGUUACUACCCUCACAAUACUAGACUCAAGACCCACAUGGGUGAUGCAAGCUUUUGCAAAGUUUAGUAUUAUAAGGUUAGUAACUUUUGAUAUGUAAAUGGGAGCCUGGUUUCCAAUGCAUUCUCACCCACUUGUGUCGAGUACCUCCAACAUACUAAAUGAGGACAAAUGCUCCAAAGCUUCACUAGUUAGAAGACUGCAUGAGGACAACCUUAAUUCAAUUACGGACCUUGCUCUUCUAGGUACGGGAGACUUACCGAUUGUGCAGUUGUGCAUCAGAGGCUUUGAGAGAGUAACUGACAAGGGAAUUAAGUCUUUAUUUCAUACUGGUAGGAAAAUUUGAAAGGUGUUAUCAGUAUUGGAUAUUGGUUACAUUUCCAAAAAUAACUGAUGCAGUUAUUUUUACAGGCAUUAUCUGAUUUAUCUUCAAGAUUCUGUGAUGAGGUCACUGAUGCUGCAAUACAGAUGCUGAUGGAUAGACCAAACCACAACAGUAGUCAACAGCAAUGACUUGUUCUUUGCAACUGUCGAGGUCUAUCUGCUGAUGCCAUAAUGCUACCUCUGCCCUAGCACGCUUUCCGUGGUUUGCUCUGGCUCUGUGUUGGACUUUAUCGCAUAGUCGAUAAGAGAGACAAUCUCUAUGAAAUCAGCAAGGCACUACCCAGGCUUGUUGGCUGCGAAGUUAGGUGCUGUGAUGGCUGGCAAUGGCACAAAAUCCGAUGAUUGAAACUUAUCUUUUUUCCUUUUUUAAGGCAUUAUCGUGCUUUAUUUGCUCUCUGUUGUAAUAAACCUUUUGAAUAUCUAAUGCCUUUUUUUUGGACCUGUCAUUGUAAUUACUCAUUAAGUGUCAAUUCAUUGCUACUAGCAUCAAGUGGCAUCAACACCUGGACGCACACCACUACUAACUAUAUGUGAAACACAAAACACCUAAUGUUGUUAUUUUCACUCUCUUACCCUACUAUGGGCUACCACCAAUUUCAAUUACCAGGUGCAUUAGCUACUUAUCUGCCCCAACUCUUUUUCCUCCUCCUUAGGUUUCUGUUCACCACAUUCUCCAUCGGGCCUUUUUAUCUCUUCCUUCUCUGAGCUCUGGUUAUGGAAGAAAGAACCGAUCAUCCUCAAUCUCAAGCAAUUCCUUUCCCGAUCAAGCCAUCUGCUCCACAUGACAUAUUUAAGACCAUAAGAUUAAAUGAUAUUUUUGUACAUUUGACAUAACUUUAUUUUAAGACUACAAGAUUCAAAAGGCUUCUUUAUUUUCUUAAAUUCCAUGUCAAGUUAAUUUUUUCGUAAAUGGGGGGGUAGAAGAAUGAGUUAAGAUUAGGUAUCGACAUGUGUGAUUCAUUGUGAUUAAAAUAAAACAAAUAAUGGCAUUUUGAUAUUUUGCACUCGGUCUUUCAUCACCAUCGCAACGAGCAACAACAAUUUACUUAGAUUAACUUGAGAAUUUGUGUUACCGUUGUAGAAGCAUUACUAAUGACAUGUUGUGCUUUUAAAUGCGAAAAGACACUGCAAGCUUUAUUACGCCAACACCUAAAUGGUAAGUCCACAACACUUCCAAAGGUCAUUUUGAAUUAACUUUUAACGUUUGACUUAUGUCAAAAGUCAUUAGUUAGAAAAACAAACUUCUUUUAUUUAUUUAUUUAUUUAUUUAUUUAUUUAUUUUUGUUUUUGUCGUCCCAAAAUAAUGCUAUUUUACUAUAAUUAAAAGUUAAUUUUAAUUUUUUUUUACUCUUAAUAAAAUAAUUUUGAUGAUAAAUUUCAAAAUUAUUUUUUAAACACCACGUCACAUUAAAGUAUGUGACGUAAAAUGAGACGUCGAUAACACUAAUUAGAAUCUAAUGCAAAGUGAGUCCUUACACUCUUCCUCUUCUAGGUUUCUACUACUUUGCUAUUCUCAAUUCUGCCCACAUUUUACUGUCCUCUUCUCUUUUUAUUUGCUUUUUGUAUUUUAAUUCCACUAUUGUACCUCCCUUUUUUUCCUUAGUACUAUGUGUUGAUAUCUUUCAUCUAAAUACUCUCUACAGCAACUCGGAGAGAUGGAGGCUAUUUUUUUCCUCUAUAUGUCGAAAUUUUACAAGGUAUUCUUUUGUUUACUUCCCUUUUUCUUUAAUUAUAAUUCUCUACUUUACUCUUUUUAGUUCUAAUAUUGUUGCCUUUAAUUACUUAGGGGUUGUUUUGUUGGGUAACAAGUUAUUCAAGGAUUAAUUAUGUUUAGUUGGUCAACACGUUAUUCAAGGAUUAUCCCGGUAUUAGUUAUCCUACCCUCAAGUGUGAUAAAAAUUACACUUACAAUCCUGGAUUAACUAAUUAUUAAAUGAGUUAUCCAUACAUUUUAUCGUAGCCAGACAUGGAUAAGCUCAUCCUAAAGUUAAUUUUAGGAUUAGUUAUGGUAACACCCUAACUCAGGAUAAGGAGUUCCACGUCGGCAAACACAGGAGAGAUGCUGGAUAUAUAAGUAAACAGGUCUUUCACUCUAGUGAUCUGUUUUAAAGUCGUGCGGAUCUAAGCCUAUAGAGCGGACAUUAUCACUAGUGGGCUGGGCUGUUACAAUUAAGGAGUUCCACAUCGGCAAAACACGGGAGAAAUGCUGGGUAUAUAAGUAAACAAACCUUUCACACUAGUAACGCAUUUUAAAGUGGUACGCGUCUAAGCCAAGCAGCCCAUAACGAACAAUAUCACUAGUGGGCCGGCCCGUUACAGUUAUCCUUUAUUCCUUGUACCAAAUGAGCCUCGAAGGUGGGAUAAAAAUAAUACUACUAUUCGGGAUAAUUAAUCUUAGUAUGAGCUAUCCCAUGCAUUUCUCCAAACCGAACAUGGCAAAAGCUCAUCAUAAAGUUAAUUCCAACAUUAGUUAUCCCUUAUCCCUGGUAUCAAAUAAGCCCUUGUAGUUGUAUGUGUGUAGUUUUUAUUUCAUUCCCUCUAUUACCUAAGGAGAAGUAAUAGUUCAAUUUAUGUUGCCAUUUUAUUUGAUUUGCAGGAAUGGAUUACUCUUUGUUGUGGCAUUCGCUCCGACCUGAUUUUGUGAGUAAAUAUAAUAAUUGUUGAUUCUUCUUAAACAUUUUGUUUGUAUUCUUUUUCUUAAAUCUUUUGUUAUUUUAGUUUUCUUGGUUUUGAAGUGGUACUUAGUCCUCAGUGGUAGGUUGUUUGACCUAUAUUGCUCGGACUCUUCAAAAAUGUCAACUGGUGCUACAUCGAAAGUGAAGAGUUCUCGUAACAUAGUGUCAGAUAGUUCAUCUGAUCCAAUGAUAGCUAUAAUGUCCUGAAGUUCUUUGUAAUGUUGUAAAGUUUGCUUAACUCGUUGGGAGGUUUCAUAAUUUUCCUCACCAACGAUCCAAGGUUGAAGUGCUGGCGAGUUGCACCCUGCAAUCCGAGCUGAGGACGGGUUUUUGGGGUUAGCUAAUCUUCGCGGGAUCGCGACCCUUUGUCCCAGCCAUUGUAGCACGUAUGUCGCUGUAUUGGUGAUUAACUGAUUAAUAUCUUCCAGUUUCUUAUUUCAAGUGUACUCUUAGACUAAUUAGUCAAUGGGACAAUUUGUCUUCGGAUUUUUAGACCACUAUUCGAAAAUUUUUGAUGUGGAAAUUCAUAAUGGCUAAUACCGAGUGGCGAGAUGUAGUUUAGAAUCACCUUUGUACUCUUAAAUUUUUCGAAUUUGGGUGGAUAAUGAGUGAGAAUAAAAUCUAUAGGUGUGUUAAUGGAGGCAUGAGAUGCAUCUUACGUUGGAAUUCUGUGAAAUAUGAGAUGCAUAUAAUGAUGAGCUAGUGUGAUGAAAUAAAUCAUCUACAUUUGAUUUAGCGAGUAAUACCAUACCUACCAUUAGAAAGAAAGGGAACAAAAAAAAAAUAGUGAAUACACAACUUUUUUUGAUAAUCGUGGUGUUCGGGUCAGCUUACAUGCACCUCGACUAAUUCCCCGGAAUAUCUAGAAUCUCCUACCAACAACAAUAGUAAAUACACAGCUAAAGACAAGUAAACUCUAAUCCUUAGUAGCUAACUCUAAUCCUUUUUCUGUUCUUUUGCUUAAUUAGUGGUCAUGUUAGUCAAUACCUCUCAUAAUCUAUUGAUUUUUACCUUUCUUUUGAAAAAUAAAGUUGUACAAAAUGUCUAUUGAAGUAGUUACUGCACCUGUUAUUAAAGUAGGUGGUAAUCCAUAGUUGGAUAAGAGAGUGAAAUUAACAUUAGGUGUUUUUUCACAUAUAGCUAGUAGUGGUGUGUGCCCAACUGGUGAUGCCACUUAAUGCUAGUAGCAAUGAAUUGGCACUCAAUGAAUAAUCACAAUGGCAGGUCCAAAAAAAAGGCAUUUGAUAUUCAUUGUAAUUCAAAAGAUUCCUUACAACAGAGAGCAAAUAAAACACAAUAAUGCCAAAAAAAAAAAGGAAAAAAGCAAAGUUUCAGUCAUCGGAUUUUGUGCCAUUGCCAACCAUCACAGCACCCAAAUUCGCAGCCAACACCGCACACAACAAGCCUUGGUUGAACCUUGCAGAUUGGGUGGAGAUUGUCUCUCUUAGCAACUAUGCUAGUAAGUUCAAUACCGAGCCAGCGCAAACGACAGAAAGCAUACUGGGGCAGACGUAGCAUUAUGGCAUCAGCAGGCAAAGCUCGACAGCUGCAAAGAUCAAGUAUUUACAGUUGACUACUGUUGUGGUUUUGUCUAUCCAUCAACAUCUACACGCAGCAUCAGUAACCUCAUCACAGAACCCUAUAGAUAAAUCAGUUAAUGCUUUAGCAGCAGAUGUAAUGGUAAAAAUAGCUGCAUUAGUUAUUUUGGGAAUGUAACCAACAUCCAACACUGAUAACGUCUUGCAAAUUUUCCUAUCAGCAUGAAAUAAAAACUUAAUUCCCUUGUCAAUUACUCUCUCACAACUUCUGAUCCACGACUGCACAAUCGGUAAGUCUCCCGCACCAAGAAGAGCAAGGUCCGUUAUUGAAUUAAGGUUGUCCUCAUGCAGUCUUCUAACUAGUGAAACUUUGGAGCAUUUGUCCUUAUUUAGUAAGUUGGAUGUACUCGACACAAGUGGGUGCGAAUGCAUUGGAGACCAGGCUCCCUUCUACAUAUGAAAAGUUACUACCCUCACAAUACUAAACUCAAGACCCACAUGGGUGAUGAAAGUUUUUGCAAAGUUUAGUAUUGUGAGGGUAGUAACUUUUGAUAUGUAGAAGGGAGCCCGUUCUCCUAUGCGUUCACACCCACUUGUGUCGAGUACCUCCAACUUACUUAAUAAGGACAAAUGCUCCAAAGCUUCACUAGUUGGAAGACUGCAUGAGGACAAUCUUAAUUCAAUUACGGACCUUUCUCUUCUUGGUACGGGAGACUUACCGAUUGUGUAGUUGUGCAUCAGAGGCUAGGGGAGAGUAACUCACAAGGGAAUUAAGUCUUUAUAUCAUACUGGUAGGAAAAUUUGCAAGGCGUUAUCAAUGCUGGUUGCAUUCCCAAAAUAGCUGAUGCUGCUAUUUUUACCAUUACAUCUGCUGCUAAGGCAUUAUCUGAUUUAUCUAUAAGAUUUUGUGAUGAGGUCACUGAUGCUGUAGUACACAUGCUGAUGGAUGACCAAACCACAACAGUAGUGAACUGCAAAGACUUGUUCUUUGCAGCUGUCGAGGUCUGUCUACUGAUGCUACCUCUGCCCCAGCACUCUUUUCGUGGUAUGCUCUGGCUCUGUGUUGGACUUUCUCGCAUAAUCGAUAAGAGAGAUAAUCUCUACGCAAGGUGCUUCCCAGGCUUGUUGUUGCGGUGUUGGCUAUGAAUUUGGGUGCUGUGAUGGCUGGCAAUGGAACAAAAUCCGAUGACGGAAACUUAUCUUUUUUCCUUUUUUUAGACAUUAUCGUAUUUUAUUUGCUCUCUGUUGUAAUGAACCUUUUGAAUAUCAAAUGCCUUUUUUUUGGACCUGCCAUUGUAAUUACUUAUUAAGUAUCAAUUCAUUGCUACUAGUAUCUAGUGGCAUCACCACUUGGACACACACCACUACUAGCUAUAUGUGAAACACCUAAUGUUGUUAUUUUCACUCUCUUACCCUACUAUGGAUUACCACCAAUUUCAAUUACCAGGUGCAUUAGCUACUUAUCUGCCCCAACUCUUUUUCCUCCUCCUUAGGUUUCUGUUCACCACAUUCUCCAUCGGGCCCUUUUAUCUCUUCCUUCUCUGAGCUCAGGUUAUGGAAGAAGGAACCGAUUAUCCUCAAUCUCAAGCAAUUCCUUUCCCGAUCAAGCCAUCUGCUCCACAUGACAUAUUUAAGACCAUAAGAUUAAAUGAUAUUUUUGUACAUUUGACGUAACUUUAUUUUAAGACUACAAGAUUCAAAAGACUUCUUUAUUUUCUUAAAUUCCGUUUCAAGUUAUUUUUUUUUUGUAAAUAGGGGGAGUAGAAGAAUGAGUUAAGAUUUGGUAUCAACAUGUGUGCUUCAUUGUGAUUACAGUAAAAUAAAUAAUGGCAUUUUGAUAUUUUACAUUCUGUCUUUCAUCUCCAUCCCAACGAGCAACAACAAUUUACUUAGAUUAACUUGAGAAUUUGUGUUGCCGUUGUAGAAGCAUUACUAAUGACACGUUGUGCUCUUAAAUGCGAAAAGACAUUGCAAGCUUUAUUACACCGACACCUCAAUGGUAAGUCCGCAACACUUCCAAAGGUCGUUCUAAAUUAACUUUUAACGUUUGACUUAUGUCAAAAGUCAUUAGUUAGAAAAACAAAGUUCUUUUAUUUAUUUAUUUUUGUUUUUGGUCGUCCCAAAAUAAUGCUAUUUUACUAGAAUUAAAAAAAAGUUAAUUUUAGUUUUGUUUUACUCUUAAAAAAAUAAUUUUGAUAAUAAAUUUCAAAAGUAUUCUUUUAAACAGCAUGUCACAUUAAAGUAUGUGACGUGAAAUGAGACGUCGAUAACACUAAUUAGAAUCGAAUGCAAAGUGAGUCCUUACACUCUUCCUCUUCUAGGUUUCUACUACUUUGCUAUUCUCAAUUCUGCCCACAUUUUAUUGUCCUCUUCUCUUUUUAUUUACUUUUUGUAUUUUAAUUCCACUGUUGUACCUCCCUUUUUUCCCUUGGUACUAUGUGUAGAUAUCUUUCAUCUAAAUACUCUCUGCAGCCACUUGGAGAGAUGAAGGCUAUUUUUUCCUCUAUAUGUCUAAUUUUUACAAGGUAUUCUUUGGUUUACUUCUUUUUUUCUCUAAUUAUGAUUCUCUAUUUCUCUUUUUAGUUCUAAUAUUGUUGCCUUUAAUUACUUAGGGUUGGUUUUGUCUGUUAACAAGUUAUUCAAGGAUUAAUUUUGUUUAGUUGGUCAACAAGUUACUCAAGGAUUAAUUAUCCAGUAUUAGUUAUCCUACCCUCAAGUGAUAAAAAUAACACUUACAAUCCCGGAUUAACUAAUUAUUGUAUGAGUUAUCCAUGCAUUUUAUCGCAACCAGACAUGGAUAAGCUCAUCCUAAAGUUAAUUUUAGGAUUAGUUAUGGUAACACCCUAACUCAGGAUAAGGAGUUUCACAUCGGCAAUACACAAGAAAGAUGUUGGAUAUAUAAGUAAACAGGUCUUUCACUUUAGUGAUCUGUUUUAAAGUCGUGGGGAUCUAAGCCUAGAGCGGAAAAUAUCACUAUUGCGCUGGGCAGUUACAAAUAAGGAGUUCCACAUCGGCAAAACACGGGAGAAAUGCUUGGUAUAUAAGUAAACAAACCUUUCACACUAAUAACGCAUUUUAAAACGGUACGUGUCUAUGCCAAGAAGCCCAGAACGGACUACAUCACUAGUGGGCUGGGUUGUUACAGUUAUCCCUUAUUCCUUGUUCCAAACGAUCCCCGAAGGUGGGCUACAAUUCGGGAUAACUAAUCUCGGUAUGAGCUAUCCCAUGCAUUUAUCCCAACCAAACAUGGCAAAAUCUCGUCGUAAAAUUAAUUCCAACAUUAGUUAUCCCUUAUCUGUGGUAUCAAACGAGCCCUUUUAGUUGCAUGUGUGUAGUUUUUUUUCAUUCCCUCUAUUAACUCUUAAUUUCAUGAGAAGUAAUAGUUAAAUUUAUAUUACCAUUUUAUUUGAUUUGUAGGAAUGGAUUACUCUUUGUUGUGGCAACCGCUCCGACCUGAUUUUGUGAGUGAAUAUAAUAAUUGUUGAUUCUUCUUUAACAUUUUGUUCGUAUUCUUUUGCUUAAAUCUUUUGUUAUUUUAGUUUACUUGGUUUUGAAGUGGUAAUUUCUAAAUCAAUAAAGUGUUAAAGUACAUUCUUUAUGUUUUGCUGCCACUUUUUGUCACUUGCUAUGAAACUGCAUUUGAUGUACAGUAUUCAUUAUGGAUGUGUAGUGUGUCAUCCUCUGGAGAUCCACUUUGGAGUGGAGGACUUCAUAGAAAUAACUCUUUUCUUUUUAUGAGGGCCUUUCAUUUUUCAAUUCAAUAUAUAUUUUAGAAAAGAAGACAAAUUGAUAUAAACACCAAAUAGAGGACAAGAGGUGGGCUUACACAAUUGCUGGAUUAAGCCAUUGGUCUAGAAAUUGAAAUUUCAAUUUAGAGACUUUUAGAUACCCUAUAAUAUAUUUUGAUAUUUUUGAUAAUUCUUUAGUUCAAAGCAUCAUCCCGUUUGUACAUCUUCUUUAGGUAAUUUUUAAUUACUUUAGAAUGAAAUUUGGCCCUUUCUCCAAUUACACUAAGAAUGUCUUAAGAUAGAAGGGAACAUUUGAGCAAACUCAAAUCUUUGAUAUGUUCACCGAGAAUGUUGAUAAUGAAGGAAUCAUUCUUCAUUUGGAAGCACCCGAUAGUUAAACUCUUGACUCCUGGGACCCACGCACAGCAUGCUUUAGAGUCUCUUCAUCUAGAUAAUAUCCCUGUAAAUCAAAGAUACUAGUCUUAUAAGUUCAUCCCAGAAGUAAGAAUGGCAUUAGCAAAACUAAAGAUGGUCAAAUGGACAUUCAUUUAUGCCACAUUCUCCAUAUGCAUUCUAUUCAAUAAUUAGAAGAUUAAUCAGACCAUCUUACCAUGAAUGUUUGGACCAGCUUGAUGCCUACAUAGGCAUUAGCAAAGUGAAGCUUAGGAAAUGCCUCCAACGGUUUUAGCUAGUCUACUAGUAAACCAUACAUAAAUAGGUUAAUCCAAAUUAACCAGAAAUAAACUCGAAAAAGUUCUAGCUACCAAACCAAUCUUAAGACACUCUAUCAAUCAGUCAUUCAACUACGGCUCAAUCCUAAGUCAAGUCCUGGAUUUUCACUCCACUCUAUUCACACUCAUUUUCAUUUCAUAAUGAUCAAGUAUCAAGCAAAUCUAACAGAAGUUUUAGAUUAUCUAAGAACAACAUAUUUCAGUUUAUAUGAAUUCGAGAUAGUUGAAUUGGAAUUUUAAACAUACAACAACAACAUACCCAGCCCACCAAGUGGUGUCUAGGGAAGGUAAGUGUACGUAGUCCAUACCACUACCUCAAUGUGAGAUAGAGAGACUUUUUUCAAUAGACUCCCGUCUCAAAAUAAAACAAUCUAAAUGAUGAAUAGUAAAAGAACAAGAUACAAUAGAUUUCAACAUAUCCAAUAAUACCAUAAACAAGAUACGCCAAGUAAUACAAUAAAAGAUACAACAUCCUAAAUUCAUACUAACCUUCUACCCUAAUCUUCCUCCUCCUCAACUUCCGAUCCAGGGUUAUGUCCUCGGUAAGUUGGAGCUGCUCCAUGUCAUGUGUAAUCACCUCCCUCCAAUGGUGAGGGAGGUUAUGACGAUGUGCAUGAGGUUUUGUUUUCAGUGAUAGAAAUGGUGAGGGGGAUACUCUGUUGGAUUUUGCGAGGGCCUUUGGGCUGGUGGUAGUGAAUUUGAUCUUUUCAAAGAAGAAGGAUCAUCUGAUUACCUUCCAAGCACGUUAGCCAAGACUGAGAUUGAAUUUUUGUUGAUUAGGAAAGGGGAUAGGGUUUUAUGUAAAGGCUGUAAAGUUAUUCCAAGUGAGCACCUUUCGACCCAGUACAGGCUUUUGGUGGUGGACUUGAUUAUCAAGAAGAGAAGGAAGAGUAGGGCCAGUGAGGGUCGACCCAAAAUUAAGUGGGGUGGCUUGGCGCCAGUUAGUGCACGAGGGAUAGGGAAGAAGGUGGCGGGAUUGGGGGUGUGGGAGUGAAGGGGUGACGUGGAUAUGUGGGAUAAGGUUGCCAGCUGCAUCAUGGAGAUGGCUAGAGAGGUGUUGGGUAUUUUGAGGUGUCGGUAUAAGGGGGACUGGUGGUGGAAUGAAGAAGUUAAGAGGAAAGUAGAGAUUAAGAAGGGGGUAUAUGUUAAGUUGAUUGAGAGUAAAGAUAAAGAGGAGAAGCAGGUGAAUAAGGAGGUUUAUAAAGUAGCAACGAAAGAGGCUAAGUUAGCAGUUACGGCUGCUAAGACAACAAUGUUUGAGAACUUGUAAGCGGGGUUAGAGGAGAAAAAUGGGAAAUAAAAGGUUGUAUAGGCUGGCUAAGGCUAGGGAGAGGAAGGGUUGUGACCUCAAUCAAGUAAAGUGCAUUAAGGGGGAGGAUAGUAGAGUUUUGGUGGAGGAUGUUCGCAUUAAGAAAAUAUGGCAGGAGUAUUUUCAUAGACUUUUGAACGGGGGAGGGGGGGACAGAGUCAUCGAGUUAGGGGAGCUGGAGUGCUCGGAGGAGAGCCAUGAUUUCAGUUACUGCAGAUAUUUUAAGGUUAAGGAGGUCAGAGAGGCUAUUCGUAAAAUGUGGAGGGGUAGGGCGACGGGGCUUGACGAGAUUUUAGUGGAUUUUUGGAAGUAUACUGGUAAAGCAGGUUGAAGGUGGUUGAUUGAUUUGUUUAACGACAUUUUCAAGACUACAAGGAUGCCUAAGGCUUGGAGAUGGAGUACGAUGAUUCCGUUAUAUAAAAACAAGGGUGACAUUCAGAGCUGCAACAACUAUAGGGGUAUUAAGCUAUUAAAUUAUAUUAUAAAGAUUUGGGAGAGGGUGGUUGAGCAAAGAUUGAGGAGGGUCGUGUCCAUUUUGGAGAAUCAGUUUGGUUUUAUGCCUGGUCACUCGACGACAGAGGCAAUUCACCUGGUAAGGAGAUUGGUAGAGCAGUAUAGGUAAAGGAAGAGGGAUUUACAUAUGAUGUUCAUCGACCUGGAGAAGGCGUAUGACAAAGUCCCUAAGAAGGUUCUUUGGAGAUGCUUGGGGGUGAGAGAGGUUUUGGUAGCAUACAUCAGAGCUAUUAAGGACAUGUACGAUGGAGGAAAGACUCGGGUGAGGAUGGUGAGAGGAUACUUAAGGCAUUUUUCAAUCGAGAUAGGGUUGCAUCAGGGAUCAACUUUUAGCCCAUUUUUGUUUGCGUUGGUGAUGGACGUGUUGACGUGGAGUAUUCAAGGUGAGGUGCCUUGGUGUAUGUUAUUUGCGGAUGAUGUAGUGUUGAUUGAUGAGACGCGGGAGGGUGUGAAUGAAAGAUGGGAGGUUUGGAGACAAACCCUUCAAUCUAAGGGGUUCAGGUUGAGUAGGUCCAAGACAGAGUAUAUGGAAUGCACGUUUAGUGACUUGAGUUAGGAGGACGAAGUGGUAGUGAGGUUAGAUUCCCAGGAUGUUUGUAAGAGUGAUAGUUUUAAGUAUCUUGAAUCUAUGAUUCAGGAGAAUGACAAGAGUAAUGAAGAUGUCCGUAAACGUAUUGGAGCAGGUUGGAUGAAGUGGAGGCUCGCCUCGGGAGUAUUGUGUGAUAAGAAUGUGCCCCUUAAGCUUAAAGGCAAAUUAUACAGAGUGGCAUUCUGUCCGGCCAUGUUGUAUGGAGUGGAGUGUUGGCCAGUCAAGAAAUUUUAUAGUCAGAGAUUGAAGGUGGCGAAAAUGAGCAUGUUGUGUUGGAUGUGUGGACUUACUAUAGGGGAUUGAGUUAGGAAUGAGACUAUCAGGGAGAAGAUGAGAGUGACUUUGGUAGAGGAAAAGUUGCAAAAAGAAAGACUGAGAUGGUUUAGGCAUGUGAUGAGGAGGCUCACGGUUGCACUAGUUCGUAGGUGUGAGAGGCUAGCUUUGGAUGUCUUUAGAAGGAGUAGAAGUAGGCCGAAGAAAUACUGAAGGAAGGUGAUUAGACAUGACAUGGAGUAGCUACAGCUUACUAGGACAUGACCCUAGAUAGGAAGGUAGAUAGGAAGGUGUGGAGGUCGUGGAUAAGGGUAGAAGACUAGUGUGAGUGAGUGGGUUGUAGCAAGGUGUUAGGAGAGCUCUUGCGUAGCCGGGUUAGUAAUCCUAGGAUUGUGUCCUUUAGUAGGAGCCUCUAUUCAGGAGAGUUUGGGUGUGGUGGGUGUCUUUGGUCUGUGAGUGUAUGUUACUACUAGGUGGGUGUCCUAUCUCUUAUUUCUUAUUUUCAAUUGCUCGAAUUUCUCUUAUUUCCUAUUUAUCUGAUAUCUAUUUUAUUAUUUCUUAUUUCUUAUUUCUAUUAUGUCAUCCAUCCUUCAUCAUGUUUCACUACGACCUUGUGUACUAUUCUCUAUUCUGAGUGGGGUCUAUCGGAAACAACCUCUCUACUUCCUCGGAGAUAGCGGUAUGGACUACAUUUUACCCUCCCCAGACCUCACUUUGUGGGAAUACACUGGGUUUUUUGUUGUUGUUGUACCUCUACCUCGCUUGAAACUAUCUCUAGCCAACUGCUCACACCUCCACACUGGGGCAUCCGCGUCCCUCCUCAUCACAUGACCGAACCAUCCCAGCCUCGCUUCCCUCAUCGGGUGGAUCUUCCACCGAAGCCACUCCUACCUUAUCUCUAAUUUUACACAAAAAAAAUUACUAAUUUCAUAUGUAUUAUGCUCAAUAAGGCUAUGAGGGAUGUGGUGUCAAAUUUUAUUUUAUUUUUAUAAUCAUGGUGUCCUAGCCAACUUUCGGACACCUCGACUAAUUCCAUGAAAUGCUUGCCACCUCUCACUCAUUAGCAGACAGCUAGUAACUCUGUUCACCAAGGCCAGGACGUUGGAAAGAAAUCACCCAGUAUUUUUUGUCCAAUAUCACAUUCAAUAUAACUCAUUUUAUCUAUUACAGCAAUAAAAUUAGGGCAUUUAAUUAGAAAAAAAAGGGCUAAGUUAACUUACAGAAAAAUCGAAAGAUGAAACAGAAGGAAGAGGAUGUGUGAAGGCAGAAUUGAAGAUUGGAGAGACACAAGUGGCGGUGCAAAGAGAUAACAAAUCCAUUUUUUCCAACGCAUUAAUUAUUAUAUGCUCUGGAAAUCUAUCCAUUGAUGCCUCAAAAUUGCCUUCGGAGUUUCCACCUCCUCCUUUAUUGCCGCCGCUACCACCACCGACUUCUUCUCCAGUACGGUGUCGCUUGGAAUUUCUGUCCAUGAAUGGAAAUAGAAACAAAACCUAAUUCCUAUUUCCUGCAAUUCUCCAGCAAAAAAAGUACAAAAAUUAGUUUGUAAAUUACUAUUUGAAUGCAAUUCAUAAUUUGCAUUUGCGGAACACAUUUUCCAUGGUGAAUCUAUAUAACGAUAAUGUAUACAGUGUAAUUUGAUGAGUGGAGUUCUAAAUGACUAUUAUUAAUGAAAACUUAAUGAAUUUAUACUUGUUAGCGAUAGUAAACAAUUAAAACAGUCUAAAAGAAGUACCCGGAGUUUACUUUAUUAUGUGUUUCUGUUAACAGACAAACUUUAAAGGUUAUUACUUAUUUGGUUGUAUAAACGAUAAUAUAUCCAGUGUAAUUUCAUGGAUAUACAUCUCUUUAUAGAGUUGUAUAGAUUAUUGUGAAAAUAGUACUUUCUAUGGAAUAGAAUGUUGAACCUCAUGUAAAUAGAUUCAAGAUUGACUACUCCUUAGUAAAGCCACCUUGAUUUUAGUAAAGCCACCUUGAUUUUGGUCAUAGAUGUAUUUAGGCCUGUUAUUGUUUUGUAUAGAUAAUUAUGUACCUAGCCCAGUUGUAAUAGAAAUAUAUACUUUCUAGUAUAUGUAUGUAAAUAUCGUACACUGACCGGACAGUUAUCAUUUUUCAAGAAGAAGAAAUAUUUCUCUCCAUACCUUUACCUUUCUAAGAUCAGUGAAGCUUCUAAAGUAAUUCAAAAAUAGAGAUUUAUCUCCCUUACAUUCUCGUUGUUAAUAUGGUAUCAGAGCCUUUAGCUCAUCAUUCAUCUAUAUUUCGGAUCUGUGUGCUGAAUUUUCUCACAUUUCGGAGCUUUGAGCUGAUUUUUUUGGCAACAUUCUACACCUUUUAGGGUUCCAGUGUCCAUACGGUCGGAAUCCACUUCAGUUUCCGCCGCAAAUCUGUGUAAUUUGAGGUGGUUAUCAGCUUGAUUUGAAGUUUGGUUUUUGUCUUCGAAGUGCGGUCACAACGGCAUUUGUUUUUUAUUUUUCAUUUUGGCUUUUACAACGAGGUUUAGCUACUCUUUCAGCCGAGAAAAAAUCUGGUAUUGUUUCCUCAACCUUAUUAAACAUUUUCGUGUUGUGUCUUUGUUGUUUGGUACGCCUUGAUUUUGUGUAGUUAUGGCUCCGAAUGUUGCAAAUUCUACUACUUCUAGUGUAGAUGCUGAUGUGGUUUCUGUUGUUAACCCUUCAUCUCCAUUAUACCUCCUAUCAUCUGAUUCUUCUGGCACAAUUUUUGUUACCACGCCCUUUAAUGGGACGGGUUAUGGAAGUUGGCAUCGAGGAAUGUUGUUACGGUUAUCCUGUAAAAACAAACUAGGUAUGAUCAGUGGUUCCAUUCCUAAGCCUUUUGCUACUGAUCCACAUUUUCAAGCAUGUAUUAGGUGUAAUGAUAUGGUGGUAGCACGGAUUCUAAACAGUCUAGAUAAGGAAAUUAGGAAAAUUGUGAUGUACACUGAAUCUGUGGAGAUUUUAUGGAAGGAAGUUGAAUGUAGAUUUGGUCAGGCUAGUGGUACCAAAAUUUUCCAAAUCAGGAAAGAACUUUCUUCAAUUUUCCAAGGAUCCUCGAGUGUUGCUUCCUACUUCAAAAGAAUUAAGAAAUUCUGGGAUCAAUUGUCUUUCUCCAUUACCUAUCCUGAUUGUACUUAUGGGUGUAAGGAUGGUUUUCUCAAGUUAGAAGAGGAGCAGAGAGUUCAUUAGGCAUCAGAAGGAACAUCCUCAUGUUAAAACCCCUUCCUGACAUUGAUAAUGUGUAUUCAAUGUUGAUAACUGAUGAGUGUCAAUCUGAGGUGCACAAUAAUCUCCCUUCCUUCAAUUCCGACUCUGUUUCUUUCUGCACUGGUAACCAAAGACCAUAUAAUCAAAAGCCAAGUUCAGAAUCUGGUGGUUUAUCUACUACUAUUUCCAGAUCCUACAAUUCCAGGAUCACUUUUGACUAUUUCUUCCAAAAGAAACACUAUGAUUUGUAGAUAUUGCAUGAAACCUGGGCAUCAAAUUUAGAGAUGCUACAAGUUGCAUGGAUUUCCUUCUGCCACAUCUAUUGGACAACCUAAAUUCAAGAAAUCUGCAGCUUUUGCCCAGGUCUCAGAGUCCCAGCAAUUAAGCACCUCUGAUUCCCCUACUUGCAAUACUUCCCCAGCUAAUUCUAGCAUUUCCAAGGAACAAUUUGAGUAGCUCUUAAGUCUGUUUCAGCAGGCUAAAAUUACUAGUCCAUCUUCUCAAGAGAUCACUGUUGGUUCUGUUAACUUUGCACGUUUGCUUAAUAGUUCUGAUUCUAGACUUUGUAGUUUGCUUGCUUGUAACGUCUCUAAGGUAGACAAUAGUACAUGGAUCAUAGACUCGGGUGCCACUAAUCACAUGAUACCACAUUCUUCAUUUCCUUCCAAUAUCACACCUCUCACAAUUCCUUAUCUUGUGACUUUACCCACUGGGUACAAAGUUGAAGUCACAAGUACUGGUACUCUUACUCUUUCUCCUGAUAUCUCCUUAACCAAUGUGUUACUAGUUCCUUCAUUUCAGUGAACUCUGAUUUCUCUUGCUCAGCUAAUUCUCCAAUUACAUUGUUCAGCCUACUUUACUUCCACUGCAUGCAUUUUGUAGGGCCUUCUCUGAAGAGAGGCCAGUGGAUCUGUGUAGCCUUCAAGCUGGGCUUUACAUCCUCAAUCCUCUUUCACUUACAUCAACUACUUGUUCUUCUACUUCUUUACAUGAUUCAUUUGUAAAUACCAUUACUGCCACUCUAUUUAAUGACAUAAAUAAGAGCAAGUCUUCUACAUCUGACUCUACUGUUACUGUUUCUUCUUCUGUUCUUAAUGCGGCACUGACUACUUCUACUUUACCUACUUUGUCAAUAAAUAAGAUUUGGCAUUUGUGAUUAGGACAUAUGCUGUUUACCAAGAUGCUUAACUGUUCCAAUUUAUAACUGAACGAGUUUAUUGAAUUUUGAACAUAAGUCUAAUUAUCUUAUUCAUUAUUGACACACCUUAAGCUAAUUUCAUGUUAACAACGAGAAUAUAAGGGAGAUAAAUCUCCAUUUCUAAAUUACUCUAGAAGCUUCAGUGAGCUUAGAAAGGUAAAGGUAGAGAGAGAAAUAUUUCUUCUUCUAGAAAAUGGUAACUGUCCAGUCAAUGUACCAUACUAGGCCGGGUACAUAAUUAUCUGUACAAAACAAUAACAUCUAUGACCCAAAAUCAAGGUGGCUUUACUAAGGAGUAGUCAAUCUUGAAUCUAUUUACAUGAGGUUCAACAGCCCCCCUCAAGUUGGAAGGGCUUGCCAUUCCAAGCUUGGAAAUGAAGUGUUGAUAAGCAACACCAAGAAGGGACUUUGUAAAUAUAUCAGCAAGUUGAGCAUUGGUGGAGAUGGAAUGAAGCGAAAUGAGACCAUCAGUUAGAGCUUGCCCGAUGAAGUAGCAAUCCACUUCAAUAUGUUUGGUACGCUCGUGAAAAACAGGAUUCUUGGUAAUGUGGACAGCUGCAUGACUGUCACAGAACACAUGUACAGGAGUGAGAUCAUGAACACCCAAUUGAGCAAAUAAACGGACCAGCCAAGUAAUUUCACCAACUACGAGCCUUACGGCUUUGUAUUCUGCCUCAGCUGUUGAUAAAGCAAUAGUGGGCUACUUCUUGGACUUCCAAGAGAUAUGACAGUGUCCAAGGAAUAGAACAAAUCCUGAAACAGAUCAACAGGUAGCAGCACAGCUGGCCCAAUCAGAAUCAAAAUAGCCUUUGAGAGAAAAAUCGGAGGAGUUAUUGAGCAGAAGUCCCAAACGAGGAGUACCAGCCAAAUAUUCCAAAACACGAUGAGCAGCAGUGAGAUAAGUAGUUCGGGGAGAAGCCAUGAACUGGCUAAGAUGUUGAACUGUAAAAGACAAUUCUGUUGAACUGUAAAAGACAAUUCUGGUCUCGUGUGUUGAAGGAAAUUUAGCUUUCCACCAAACUUUAUGUACACAGAAGGAUCAGGUAACAAAUACCCAGAAUCAGAAGAUAGCUUCACGUGAGGGUCAAGUGGUGAAACAACAGAAUUAACAUUAGUAUAGUGAAAUUCGGACAAUAGAUCCAAUGCAAACUUAUGUUGGCUGACCAAGAACCUCGUCGAAGUAUGGAUAAUUUCCAGACCAAGGAAAUAAUGUAUAAGGCCAAGGUCCUUAAUUCUGAACUUAUCAUCCAGCAAAAGCUUGAGAGAAGAAAUUUCAGAUUCAUCAUCACCAGCCAAGAGAAUAUCAUCCACAUAAACAACCACAAUAGUAAGACUAGUGCCAACUAAUUUUCUGAACAAAGAGUAGUCAUUCAUGCUAGGGAUGAAACCCCUAGACUCUAAAGCAGAAGAUAGUUUGGCAUACUAUUGUCUCGAGGCUUGUCUAAGACCAUAGAGGGACUUAUUAAGGCGACAUACCAACAUAGUAAAUGAAGAAGNNNNNNNNNNNNNNNNNNNNNNNNNNNNNNNNNNNNNNNNNNNNNNNNNNNNNNNNNNNNNNNNNNNNNNNNNNNNNNNNNNNNNNNNNNNNNNNNNNNNNNNNAAACAUUUAAUGGUGGUCAUUUUGACCACUUUAGAAAAAGUUUCAGUAAAAUCUAUACCCUCUUGCUGGGCAUCCCCUCAAAUGACCAACCUAGCAUUGUAUCUUUCAAUAGUGCCAUUAGACCUCUGUUUGAUUUUAUAAACCCAUUUACGUGGAAUGGCCUUCUUACCAGCAGGUAAAGGGACAAUAUCCCAUGUAUGAGUGUCUUUCAAACCCUUAAAUUCUUUCAUCAUGGCUUCCUGCCAGGCAAGAUUGGAAACAACCUGAUGGUAGAAUUGAGGUUCUUGCAAGGAAGUCUCAAAAGAUAGAGAAAUAAUCCUAGAACUUGAAACAGAGAUGCACACAUAAUCAUUGAGGUAAGCUGGAGGAUGAGAUGAUCUAGAAGACUUUCUUUGGGCAGAGAUAGGAACAGAAGUUGGGAUAACAGUGGUAGAAAUAAGGACAACUGAAGGAGAAGAGGGAUUAUGAGGUAUAGGGAGAGAGAGAUCAGGAGGAAAAAGAUGAGGUGAAGUAGAAGAUUAAUAAAGGAAAACAUUUUCAUGGAAUAUGACAUCCCUGGAGUGAAAAAUGCUAUGAUUAGAUAGUCUGAAAAGUUCAUAACUUUUCCUGCCAUGACUAUACCCAAGAAAAACCGAGGGGUAUGGCAUGGAUUGAAACUUAUCUCUAUGUGGUUUAGGUACAGCAGCAAAACAUAGGCAACCAAAAGCUUUCAAAUGUGUAAAAGAAGGUGAAAUACCAUGAAGUAACUCAAAAGGGGAUUUGUAAUUCAAAAGUGUUGUGGGAAACCUAUUUAUCAUAUAAGUAAGAACACAUUCUCCUCAAUACUUGACUGGGAGUUUGGAUUGACAUAAAAGGGCUCUAGCAGUUUCAAGAAGACGCUUGUGUUUCCUCUUCACCACACCAUUUUGUUGUGGUGUGUGAGGACAAGAGGUUUGAUGCAAGGUUCAUGUGUUGAAAAAAAAUAGAAGCUGCUGAACUACACCCCCAAUUCAAGGGCAUUGUUAGAUCUGACCAUCUGAACAGUGGUGUUAAAUUGGGUUUUAACCAUAAAGAUGAAAGAUUGUAUGAGAGUGAAGGAAUUACCCUUCGUAUGUAAGAGAUGUGUACAAGUAGCUCUAGUAAAGUCAUCUACUAUUGUCAAGAAAUAUUUAAAACCAUUAUAAGUUUGAGUAUGAUAAGGACCCCAAAGAUCCAAGUGAAUUAAUUGAAAAGGAGAAGUGGAGUGAAUGGAACUCCUAGGGAGGGGGAGUCUUUGUUGCGUAGCCAUGGACAAAUAGGGCAUAAGAAGGAUUGUUUCUUAGGUAGGACAUCAAAUAAACAAGAAAGUUUAACAACAGAAAAAUCAGAGAAGAAAAUUCAACAUAUUAGAAGAUAAGAACAACAACCAAUAACAUACCUAAUGUAAUUUCACAUGUAGAGUCAAAGAAGGUAGGAUGUAUAAGGAUCUUACCUGUCUCUGUGGAUAGGGGCUGUUUCAAAUAACUCACAAGAAUUCUAUAUUUCAGUCUCCAAAAUAAUACCUCAUAUUUAUAGGUGUUAACCCAAAUGGUUAGUUAAAGGUUAGUUUGAUUUCAUUAAUGGAAGAUAAAAUAAUUUAUUAAAUAAUAAGUAAAUGUAACUAUAUUAGAGUAAGAAAGAUUUUUCAAAUCAAUAAUAAGCAUUCAUAUGUUACUCCAACGGCUAGUUAACGGCUAGUUAAUGGUUAGUUUGUUGUAAUAUUAGAGUUGGAAACUUGGAGUAACACAAGAAUACUCAUUGUUGAUUUUGAAAAAACUUUCUUUCUCUAAUCUUAUUUUAAACUAACCAUUAACUAGUCGUUGGAGUAACACAAAAAUACUCAUUAUUGAUUUGGAAACGCUUUCUCUUAUCUUAUAUUGACUAACCAUUAACUAGCUGUUGGAGUAAUACAAAAAUUAAUAAUUUGGAAAAGCAUUCUUUCUCUAAUUUUAUAUUUACUAACCGUUAACUAGCCGUUGGAGUAACACAGGAAUACUCAUUAAUAUUGUGAGAGAACUUUCUCUUAUCUUACAUCAAACUAGUUGUUGGAGUAAUACAAAAAUUAAUAAUUUGGAAAAGCAUUCUUUCUCUAAUAUUAUAUUUACUAACCGUUAACUAGCCGUUGGAGUAACACAGGAAUGCUCAUUAAUAUUGUGAGAGAACUUUCUCUAAUCUUACAUCAAACUAACCGUUAACAAGCCGUUGGUAAUAUAUGAAUGCUUAUUAUUGAUUUGGAUAAUCUUUCGUACUCUAAUAUUGUUAUUUUUACUUACUAUUUGAUAAAAUUGACAUUAAUGAAAUCAAACUAGCCGUUAACUAACCGUUUGGGUUAACACCUAUAAAUAGAAGGCAUUAUUUUGGAGAUUGAAAUAUAGAAUUCUUCAGAGUUAUUUGAGACAACCUUUACGAACAAAGACAGGUAAGAUCUGUAUACAUCCUACCUUCUCAAACUCUACUUGUGAAAUUACAUUAGGUUUAUUAUUGGUUGUUCUUAUCUUCUAAUAUGCUGAAUUUUCUUUCUUGAUUUGUUUUUGUCCCAAUUUAUAACUGAACAUGUUUAGUGAAUCUUGAGCACAAGUCUAAUUAUCUUAUUCAUUAUUGAGACACCUUAAGUGUAACGCCCCGCAUUUUGGGCUAGAAUAAAAACCAUGAUUUUGAUGCGUUGUUAAUCCCGAAGUCAUAAAAUCCUAUGCCAAUACGGCAUGUUAAUUAUUGUAUAGCAUUUGAAUCCUCUAAAUCUUGAAUUUAGACCAUAGAGGUCCUUCAACUCAAGGACGAGUUAAAACAAUUUCGGUCGACUAAGUUUUAGUGGACGUUGUAAAGUGUGCCAGCUUCCAUCGACCAUAAUUCUCUAUAUAUGUCGAAUUAGGAAGCCUACUAUGUGUCAAAUGAUAAGUAUUCGAGUUAGCUUUCCAACGAUACCAAUUUGGAUAAAAUUCAACACCCGAGCAAGAACUUAUGACCUUUCAAAGUGAUAAGCGACGCCUAACCAAUCGCCCAUGGCCACUGGAAAGCAUAGGCGAUAGCCUAGGCGGCGCCUACGUGAAGAUAGGCGAUGGGAUGGGCGGGAUUUAGCCCUAAAACACGAGACUUAGUUCCAAGGACCCCAAAAUACAUAUUCUUUCAUCAAAAGUGCUCAAGAUUUUCCUUAGGGUUUCAAAAUAAAAUAAAAAAACCCAAAUAGUUCAAGAUUUGACCGUAGGUUUUCAAAGAUAAUUACAUAUUUGGAAUCACCAAUCCGCAAGCUUCAAGAAACAUAUAUUAUCUUUGGAAAUAGAGGAACGUGGGGUUAUCCAAAAAUCUCAUGGGUGUAAUCUUUAUGAACAUGCAUGCUUUUAAAUGGGGGUUUUCAAUGAAAUGCUAAUAUGUUGCUUUCAAUAUGAUUUCUAAGUCAUUUAAUUUAUGUCAUGGGAAUUGUUUGCCUAUAUACUUCAAUGGUUGAAACCAUGCAUAUGUGAUUUGAGAUUUUCCAUGGAAGUUUGAUAAAUAUGAAUGAUAAAUUGUUUUUUUCAAAUUCCCAUGAUAAUGUUUUGAUACUUCAUAUCAUAUUGAGAUCAACAAAAGAGAGCAUGAAUUUGAAAUAAAUAUUGUUCACUACUUGUAAAUGAUGAAGCACCUUGGCUUUUACAUGAUUAUGCAUAUGUGGAUGUGAUAUUGAUGACUUGCAAGUCGGGUAUAAUGAUACCCUACAAAAUGUGAUAUGCGAUUGAAUAAGAUGAAAUUUGAAUGCAUUGAUUUUAUAUGAGAAAGGUGGACGCCCGAAGAAGGCGUUUGAGACACAAGCGGCUCAUCGCUGGAAGAACGUGUUUGCCGACACGGAAUAUCGGUACCAUGCUUUAUGGUCUUGUGUACCUGAUAUUAUAUUAUCCCAAAUUAGGAUUAUGGUUAGUAUCCAUGCUUUGUGGUCUUGUACACUACCAUAUUUGAUUUGGGUCGAGACACCAUGCUUUGUGGUCUUGUGCGUCUCUCCCUCACUUAUACUCUAAUCUCGGCGGCAACCGAGGUUUGACAGUUGGUGUAAAUUAUGUAGGGUAUUCCACCUAGCUCAGUUGAAUUUCAUUAUUGUUGAGAAAAAAACUAUUGCAUUACACCCAUGUGUUUUCAAAUGAUUUGAUACGAAAUUGCUUUAUAAUGGCUCUUAACUAUAUUUUGUAAAAAUAUUAUAUUUUGCUUUGAUAUCUCUGCGUGCCAGUACUUUUGUGCUGACCCCCUCCCCUCUCCAACCUCUCAGGUUUAGAGGUCCAGUCUAGGGGUCAAGAGAAUCAGUAGAACUUUCAGACAGAGCUGUAAAGACAAGUGAUGAGCCUUUUAUGUUUUGGAAGGUCUUAUGUCCUGCAGUACUUUUACCUUUUAUUCAAUUUUUGGGUUUGCUGGGGCCUUGUCCCAGUUUUCAGAUAGACAUUGUUUCAGUCAUAUAGUAGAGAUUUCGCAGACGAUUUUAGAAAUGUUGAUUUAGAUUGUGGGACACUAUUCCCCAUUGUCGUUUUCAUAUGAUUCUUGACCAUGUUUCCGUUAUAUUAUGUUUCUUUCGUAUUACUUUGACCAUAUGAAUUAUGUGCAUGAUUAUCAGAAAGAUAGAGGUGUUUCGGGCCUCCAUGGUUUGAAAUGCUCGUCACGGCCAGGCCCUGGUUCGGGUCAUGACAAACUUGGUAUCAAAGCACGGUUCAUGGUCCCAGGGUGCCUGCAAAAUCGCGUCAGGUAGAGUCUUGUUUAUGGGUGUGUAGUGCGCCACACUUAUAAGAAGGAGGCUACUUGGCGUUUAGGAAAUUUUUUCCUUCUUUUUGAUUUAGUUCAUGCUUUAGAGUCUGAACUGUACCCUAAUCAAUGAUCACUUGUGUUUUAGAAACACAGUUAUGCCUCCAUGUCGUAUCGUCGAUCAGAAUGCUCAGGCAGAUGAGGUCCGUCCCACCCAGGGGAUGCAGACCCAUAACAGGGCUCACACUCCAUAAUUUGUCCCUUCUCCAGGAGUCCCUCUAGUUCUGACCAGUCCACCUCAGGCUCUGCGGACUAAUGCCAACCAUCCCCCAAUUGCUCAGGGAGAUAUUUCAAAUGCAAAAUUUAGACGGUCUAUUCAUAUGCUGACACAGUUAGUAGCUAACCAGGAUCAACAAUCGGAAUAUGUUGGGUCUGCAUCUGUUACAUCUGAGGCUACUAGAGUCGGAUAUUUCAUGAAGAUGAACCCACCUAAGUUCAUUGGCACCAAGGUGGAGGAAGAUCCACAGGAGUUCAUGGAUGAUAUGGAAAAGAUCUUUAAGGUGAUGUAUGUGGAUGAGGUUAAAGGGGUGGAGCUAGCAACCUAUCAGCUCAAGGACGUUGUGAAUCAUUGGUAUGCCGACUGGGAAGAUGAAAAGGGUGAAAGUGUUGAGCCUAAGUUUGGGGCGAAUUUGUGGAAGCUUUCCUUGAUUGAUUCUUUCCACUGGAGUUGAGGGAGGCCAAAGCGGAAGAGUUUAUGAAUCUGAAGAAAGGCAGUAUGAGUGUCCAGGAGUAAACUUUGAAGUUUAAUAAACUAGCCCGCUAUGCACCAGAGUUGACUAGUAAUAUGAGGGCCCGAAUGAGAAAAUUUGCAUUCGGCCUUACUGAUGACCUAGUACUUGAGUGCCAGGGGGCUAUGUCGAAUAAGGAGUUAGACUUUGCUCGACUGACCGUUCAUAUGCAUCAAGUGGAAGAGAAGAAGAAAAAGAUUGCUGAUAUAAAGAGAAAGAUAGACAGGAUAAAAGAGCUAGAUCUGUGGAUCAGCACCAGAGUCAGCCGCAGAGUGGUAACUGGGAUAAUAAGUGGUCGAACAAGAAGAAGUUUUGGAAUAAUGUACAGUCAGCAGCCAGCUCCCCAGCACCCAGACCACCGACAGACAGACAAACUCAGAGUUUUCAGACUCCUCAUGGGUCCAAAGCUCUAGGUACACAGUCUCAAGGUAGCUUGGCCCAGCAGCGGCGUACUCGUCUACAGUGUGAGGUUUGUGGAAGGAAUCAUCUAAGGAAGUGCUGGUUUGAGGGGAGAAACUGCUAUACUUGUGGCAAAGUGGGUCACCUUCAGAGAGAUUGUCCAUCUUCUUGAAUAAAUGUGAGGGGGGCUAAGUCCCAAGCCACCUCUACAGCUCUUUUUUCUAAGGAUGCCCCUUCAGCUGCCGGAAGCGUUCGCAACCGGUUAUAUUCUUUGACUAACCGCCAGGAGGCGGAAGCUUCACUAGAUGUUUUCACCGGUAUGUUAUGAAUCUUUUCUCUUGAUGUUUAUGUAUUGCUUGAACCCGGGUCUACUUUAUCCUAUGUGACCCCUUAUGUGGCUAUUGGUUUUGGGUUUGAACCCGAAGUUAUUAUAGAACCCUUCUCUUUUUCUACUCCUAUAGGUAAUUUUGUUGUUGUUAGAAGGGUAUAUAGAAAUUGUGUCGUGUCUGGUCAUAGUAGAAAAACUGUGGCAGACCUUAUAGAACAGGAUAUGAUAGAUUUUGAUGCCAUCCUUGGGAUGGACUGGCUCCAUUCUUGUUAUGCCACCCUUGAUUGCAGAACCCGAAAGGUCAUUUUUUCUUUCCUGAAUGAGACCAGUUAUAUGGGCAGGGAGUUCUGUGGAACAUAGAGGUCACUUUAUCUCUUAUCCUAUAGCCCGAAAGCUUAUCUCCAAAGGGUUUAUGUAUCAUCUAAUCCGAGUGAAAGAUUCAAAAGUUGGAAACCUUUCUCUACAGUCAGUCCCUGUAGUGAAUGAAUUCCUAGAAGUCUUUCCCGAAGAUAUAUCCUCUCACAGGGAGAUAGAUUUUGGCAUUGAUGCGUUGCCAGACACUCGUCCUAUUUCUAUUCCGCCAUACAGAAUGGCUCCCGCGGAACUAAAGGAGUUAAAGGAACAGCUUGCAGACCUCCUAGACAAAGGCUUUAUUCUUCCUAGUGUUACCGGUGCUCUUCGGUGUAAAUAAGGUUGGGACCCUUCGGAUGUGCAUAGACUACCGUCAGUUGAAUAAGGUCACAAUUAAAAAUAAAUAUCCUCUUCCUAGUAUUGACGAACUUUUUGACCAGCUUCAGGGUGCCAAGUACUUUUCAAAAAUAGACCUUCAUUCGGGUUAUCAUCAGUUGAAAGUUAGGGAGUCAUACAUACUCAAGACAGCCUUCCGAACCUGAUAUGGUCACUACGAAUUUCUAGUCAUGUCCUUCGGGUUAACUAACGCCCCUGCAGCCUUCAUGGAUCUUAUGAAUGGAUUGUUCCAUCAGUUUCUUGACUUGUUCGUCAUUGUAUUUAUUGAUGAUAUUCUGAUCUAUUCUAAGAAUAAAGAGGAUCACGCCAAUCACCUCCGAAUUAUCCUCCAGACCCUUAAGGAUCAUCAGUUGUAUGCCAAAUUUUCUAAGUGUGAAUUCUGGUUAGACGCUAUUGCCUUCGUAGGGCAUAUUCUGUCUAGUGACGGGAUAAGAGUGGAUCCCUAAAAAGUUGAAGCAGUGAUAAAAUGGCCUAAACCCAUGACUCCAACUGAUAUUCGGAGCUUCUUGGGUUUGGCGGGGUAUUACAGAAGGUUCGUAGAGAAUUUUUCUUCCAUAGCUGCUCCGCUUACUAAACUAACUCAGGAAAAGAUGAAGUUUGUAAGGUUUGACUUGUGUGAAAACAGUUUUGAGAAAUUGAAGGACAAGCUGACUACUGCUACUAUUUUGACCCUUCCGAGGGUGUAGAUGAUUUUAUGAUUUAUUGUGAUGCGUCCCGUGUGGGACUUGGUUGUGUAUUAAUGCAGCGUGGUAAGGUGAUAGCUUAUGCAUCUAGGCAGUUGAAGGUGCAUGAGCGCAAUCACCCCACUCAUGACUUGGAGUUAGCAGCUGUGGUGUUUGCACUUUGAAUUUGGAAGCACUAUCUCUAUGGAGUGCAUGUUGAUAUUUAUACUGACCAUAAGAGUUUACAGUAUGUUUUCUNNNNNNNNNNNNNNNNNNNNNNNNNNNNNNNNNNNNNNNNNNNNNNNNNNNNNNNNNNNNNNNNNNNNNNNNNNNNNNNNNNNNNNNNNNNNNNNNNNNNNNNNNNNNNNNNNNNNNNNNNNNNNNNNNNNNNNNNNNNNNNNNNNNNNNNNNNNNNNNNNNNNNNNNNNNNNNNNNNNNNNNNNNNNNNNNNNNNNNNNNNNNNNNNNNNNNNNNNNNNNNNNNNNNNNNNNNNNNNNNNNNNNNNNNNNNNNNNNNNNNNNNNNNNNNNNNNNNNNNNNNNNNNNNNNNNNNNNNNNNNNNNNNNNNNNNNNNNNNNNNNNNNNNNNNNNNNNNNNNNNNNNNNNNNNNNNNNNNNNNNNNNNNNNNNNNNNNNNNNNNNNNNNNNNNNNNNNNNNNNNNNNNNNNNNNNNNNNNNNNNNNNNNNNNNNNNNNNNNNNNNNNNNNNNNNNNNNNNNNNNNNNNNNNNNCACACUUCGAGGUAUAUCAUUCACCCAGGCUCUACUAAGAUGUACCAUGAUCUGAAAACCUUGUAUUGGUGGAAUAACAUGAAACGUGAUGUAGCUGAUUUUGUGUCCAAGUGUUUGAACUGUCAACAAGUGAAGGUAGAACACAUGAGGCCGAGUGGUACUUCCCAAGAGAUAGCCCUGACUUUAUGGAAGCGGGAGAUGAUAAACAUGGACUUUAUUACAGGACUUCUGAGAUCCCAAAACCAGUAUGAUUCUAUAUGGGUUAUUGUAGAUCGGUUGACCAAGUCAGCCCACUUUUUCGUGUGAGGACUAAUUAUUCGGGAGAGGUUUAUGCUAAGAUUUACAUUGAGGAGAUAGUUUGAUUGCAUGGGGCACCAGUGUCCAUUAUAUCCGAUAGAGGUACGUAUUUUUCAUAUUAGUUUUGGAGAUUCUUUCAGAAGGGUUUAGGUACACAAGUGAAUUUGAGCACAGCUUUCCACCCUCAGAUGGAUGGGCAAGCUGAGCAUACCAUUCAAGCCCUCAAAGAUAUGUUGAGGGCAUGUGUCAUUGAUUUCAAAGGUAGUUGGGUAGAUCACCUGCCACUGGUUGAAUUCACUUACAAUAAUAGCUACCAUGCCAGCAUCAAGAUGGCUCCUUUUGAGGCUUUGUAUGGGAGGAGAUGUAGGUCUCUGAUAGUAUGGUAUGAAGUAAGUGAGACUCAGUUGUAUGGGCCUGAGCGAUGGAAAAAGUAAAAAUCAUUAGAGAAUGACUCAAGACUGCUCAGAAUCAUUAGAAUUCCUAUGCCGAUGUUUGGAGAAGAGAACUAGAGUUUGAAAUUGGUGAUUGGGCAUUUCUCAAGGUUUCUCCUAUGGAAGGAGUUAUGUGGUUUGGAAAAAAAGGGUAAAUUGAGCCUUUGUUAUGUAGGGCCAUAUCAGAUUUUGAAGAAGAUUGGUACAGUUGUAUAUGAGUUAGAAUUGCCUACAAGUUUGGGUUUCGUUCAUCCGGUAUUCCAUGUAUCCAUGUUGAAGAAAUGCAUUAGAGAUCAUUCUAUGGUAUUUCCAGUAGAGGGUAUAAAAGUGACAGACUCCUUGUCUUACGAAGAAGAGCCCGUUGAAAUUUUAGAUCGCCAAGUUCGAAAUCUGAGGAGCAAAGAAAUAGCCUCAAUAAAGAUACUGUGGAGGAAUCAGAAGGUCGAAGAAGCAACUUGGGAGACAGAAGAUGAUAUGAGAAUUAGAUAUCCCAAUUUGUUUGCUUCGAUGGAGGAGGAGACAAAAGGUACUAUUCCUAUCUUAUCUUUUCUAGUCCAUUAUUAUGAUUGAAAUCGUGUCUGUCUGUGUCCCGCAUCAUCAUUCAGGGACAAAUGAUCCUAAGUGGGGGAUAAUGUAACGCCCCGCAUUUUGGGCUAGAAUAAAAACCAUGAUUUCGAUGCGUUGCUAAUCCCGAAGCAAUAAAAUCCCAUGCCAAUAUGGCAUGUUAAUUAUUGUGUAGCAUGUGAAUCCGCUCAAUCUUGAAUUUAGACCAUAGAGGUCCUUCAACUCAAGGACGAGUUGAAACUAUUUCGGUCGACUAAGUUUUAGUGGACGUUGUAAAGUGUGCCAGUUUCCAUCGACCAUAAUUCUCUGCAUAUGUCGAAUUAGGAAGCCUACUAUGUGUCAAAUGAUAAGUAUUCAAGUUAGCUUUCCAACUAUACCAAUUUGGCUAAAAUCCAACACCCGAGCAAGAAGUUAUGACCUUUUAAAGUGAUAAGCGAUGCCUAACCAAUCGCCCAUGGCCACUGGAAAGCAUAGGCGAUAGCCUAGGUGGCGCCUAUGUAAACAUAGGCGAUAGCCUAGGCGGAGCCUAAGUGAAGAUAGGCGAUGGGAUGGGCGGCGCCUAUGUAAGGAAUUUUGAAAAUUUAAACACUCCGUGUUGAGGCAAAGUGGUCCUUUUCCACCCUUACUUAGCCCUAAAACACGAGAUUUAGUUCCAAGGACCCCAAAAUACAUAUUCUUUCAUCAAAAGUGCUCAAGAUUUUCCUUAGAGUUUCAAAAUUAAAAAAAAAAAAACAAAUAGUUCAAGAUUUGAUCGUAGCUUUUCAAAGAUAAUAACAUAUUUGGAAUCACCAAUCCGCAAGCUUGAAGAAACAUCUAUUAUCUUUGGAAAGAGAGGUACGUGGGGUUUAUCCAAAAAUCUCAUGGGUAUAGUCUUCAUGAACAUGCAUGCUUUUAAAUGGGGGUUUUCAAUCAAAUGCUAAUAUGUUGUUUUCAAUAUGAUUUCUAAGUCAUUUACUUUAUGUCAUGAGAAUUGUUUGCCUAUAUACUUCAAUGGUUGAAACCAUGCAUAUGUGAUUUGAGAUUUUCCAUGGAAGUUUGAUAAAUAUGAAUGAUAAAUUAUUUUUUUCAAAUUCCCAUGAUAAGGUUUCGAUACUCCAUAUCAUAUUGUGAUCAACAGAAGAGAGCAUAAAUUUGAAAUAAAUAUUGUUCACUACUUGUAAAUGAUGAAGCACCUUGGCUUUUACAUGAUUAUGCAUAUAUGGAUGUGAUAUUGAUGACUUGCAAGUUAGGUAUGACGAUACCCUACAGAAUGCGAUUGCGAUUGAAUAAGAUGAAAUUUGAAUGCAUUGAUUUUACAAGAGAAAGGUGGAUGCCCGAAGAAGGCAUUUGAGACACAAGCGACUCAUCGCUGGAAGAACGUGUUUGCCGACACGGAAUAUUGGUACCAUGCUUUGUGGUCUUGCGUACCUGAUAUUAUAAUGGCUCUCAACUAUAUUUUAUAAAAAUAUUAUGUUUUGCUUUGAUAUCUCUGUGUGCCAGUACUUUUGUGCUGAACCCCUCACCUCUCCAACCUCUCAGAUUCAGAGGCCUAGUCUAGGGGUCAAGAGAAUCAGUAGAACUUUCAGACAGAGCUAUAGAGACAAGUGGUGAGCCUUCUAUGUUUCGGAAGAUCUUAUGUCUUGCAGUCCUUUUACCUUAUAUUUAGUUUUUGGGUCUGCUGGGAGCCUUGUCCCAGUUUUCAGAUAGACAUUGUUUCAGUCAUGUAGUAGAGAUUUCGCAGACGGUUUUAGAGAUGUUGAUUUAGAUUGUGGGACACUAUUCCCCAUUGUCGUUUUCAUAUGAUUCUUGACCAUGUUUCUGUUAUCUUGUGUUUCUUCCACAUUACUUUGAUCAUAUGAAUUAUGUGCAUGAUUAUCAGACAGAUAGGGGUGUUUCGGGCCUCCAUGGUUUGAAAUGCUCGUCACGGCCAGGCCCUGGUUCGGGUCGUGACAUUAAGCUAAUUGUGAUCCAUAGGCAGUACUAUUUUCAUAAAAAUCUAUACUACUCUAUAAAGAGAUGUAUGUCCAUGAAACUACACUGAAUGUAUUAUUGCUUUUACUACAAAUAAGUAAUAACCUUUUGAAGUUUGUUCGUUAAUAGAAACACAUUAUACAGUGAACUCUGGGUACUUCUUUUAAACUGUUUUAAUUGCUUACUAUCUAUAACAAGUAUAAAUUCAUUAAGUGUUCAUUAAUAAUAGACAUUUUGAACUCCACUCAUGAAAUUACACUAUAUAGAUUAUUGUUAUAUAGAUUAGCCAUGGAAAACGUGCUCAGCAAAUGUAAAUUAUGAAUUGCAUUCAAAGAGUAAUUUAUAAACUAAUUUUUUGUACUUUUUUGCUAGAGAAAUUGCAGGUAAUUGAGGAAUUAAGUUUUGUUUUCUAUUUCCAUCCAUGGACGAAACUGCCAAGCGACACUGUACCAGAGAAGUUGGUGGCGGCAACGGCGGCGAGAAAGGAGGAGGAGGAAGCUCCGAUGGCGAUUUUGAGCCGUCAAUGGGUAGAUUUACGGAUCAUAUAAUAAUUAAUGUGUUGGAAAAAAUGGAUUUGGCAUCUCUUUGCACCGCUGCCUGUGUCUCUCCAACCUUCAAUUCUGCCAUUGCAUAUCGUCUUACUUUUGUUUAGUCCUUCCGAUCUUUCUGUAAGUUGAUUUUGCUUUUUUUUUCCUAAUUAAAUGCCCUAAUUUUAUUGUGUAUGAUUUACUAGUAGACUAGCUAAACCUACUGAAGGCAUUUUCUGGGCAUCACUUUGCUAAUGCGUAUGUGGGCUUUAGCAAGUGUACUGGUUCAAACAUUCGUCAUAAGAUAGUGUGAUGAAUCCUCUUAUUAUUGAAUAGAGUAAAAUGCAUGUGGAGAAUGUAGCGUAAACGACUUUCCAUUUGACCAUCUUUAGUUUUGCUAAAUGCGAUUCUUACUUCUGGGAUGAACUUUUAAUACUAGUAUCUUUGAUUUACGGGGAUUUUAUCUAAAUUAAGAGACUCUAAAACAUGUCGUGUGUAGAGUCCCAGGAGCCAAGAGUUUAACUAUGGAGUGCCUCCAGAUGAGGAAUGAUUCCUCCAUUACAUAUCGAAGAUUUGGGUUUUCUCAAAUGUUCCCAUCUGUCUUACGACAUUCUUCGUGCAAUUGGAGAAAGGUGCCUGAACUUAAGGUAUUCUCCUAUGUCAACAUAUCGGUAAACUGUUAUGAAAUGCUUCAUUGAUUAUGGUUUCACAUCUUUGAUGGUAAGAACUUUACAAGUGGUUGUAAUCAAUUUAACAGGGCUUAGAAGGCGUUCAUUGCCUCCAUUGAUGGAUUUUCAGACUGUUAUUAUCCUGAAAUUCUCUGCAUAAAUGUAUUUUAUUUAGAUCCACUCGCUGAAGCUCAUUUGUAAUUUUUAAGCAGAUUUUUUAAUUUAAAUAACUCGUUUGGGGAACCAAUUCAUUUAAAUUUGAUUUUUUUCUUUGCUGACCCUCGAUGAUAGCUGAUUUCUUAGGCUGUUCGGGUAUAGAAAACCUCAAACUGCAUUAGCUUUUGCACCUGGCAUGCAUUAAUUUCACUCUAUAUCUCCACCUCCGGAAGAUGGAACAGUCGAGAUAUAAUUAAGUCCAUUGUGGUUACACCAACAAUAUCUUGCUUUCAUACUCUUGUGUGACUUCCUGGAUUUGUUUCCAACGUGUGCUUUCUUAUUUCCCCUGCUUAUAGAAUUUGCUGCGUGUG